GAACGCUGGCGGCAUGCCUUACACAUGCAAGUCGAACGGCAGCGGGGGGAGCUUGCUCCCUGACGGCGAGUGGCGGACGGGUGAGUAACACGUAGGAAUCUACCUUAAUUAUAAUAGUUAGUGGGGGAUAACCCGGGGAAACUCGGGCUAAUACCGCAUAAUCUCUUCAAAGCAAAGCGGGGGAUCUUCGGACCUCGUGCUAUGAGAUGAGCCUGCGUCGGAUUAGCUAGUUGGUAGGGUAAUGGCCUACCAAGGCGACGAUCCGUAGCUGGUCUGAGAGGACAAUCAGCCACACUGGGACUGAGACACGGCC
rnacentral:rRNA from 1 species